UGGCUCAGAACGAACGCUGGCGGCGCGCCUAACACAUCCAAGUCGAGCGAGAAGCGGGGCUUCGGCCCCGUGGAGAGCGGCCAACGGAUGCGUAACACGUGAGCAACCUCCCCCGAAGACCGGGACAACCGAGCGAAACUUCGGCUAAUACCGGAUGCCCUCACCGGAUCGCAUGGUCUGGUGAGGAAAUGCAUUCCGCUUCGGGAUGGGCUCGCGGUCUAUCAGCUUGUUGGUGGGGUAAUUUCCUACCAAGGCGACGGGGAAUAUCUGGUCUGAGAGGACGAUCAGCCACACUGGGACU
rnacentral:rRNA from 1 species